GUCCAGGGAUGGGAAUCGAACCCACAAUCUUCCGCUUACCGGGCAGAUGCCAUGUCCACUAGGCUACCCUGGA